rnacentral:rRNA from 1 species
CCUACGGGCGGCAGCAGUGGGGGAUAUUGCACAAUGGGGGGAACCCUGAUGCAGCGACGCCGCGUGGGUGAAGAAGCGCCUCGGCGCGUAAAGCCCUGUCAGCAGGGAAGAAAAUGACGGUACCUGAAGAAGAAGCCCCGGCUAACUACGUGACAGCAGCCGAGGUAAUACGUAGGGGGCAAGCGUUAUCCGGGUUUACUGGGUGGAAAGGGGGCGCAGACGGCGAUGCAAGCCAGGAGUGAAAGCCCGGGGCCCAACCCCGGGACUGCUGUUGGAACUGCGUGGCUGGAGUGCAGGAGGGGCAGGCGGAAUUCCUGGUGUAGCGGUGAAAUGCAUAGAUAUCAGGAGGAACACCGGUGGCGAAGGCGGCCUGCUGGACUGCAACUGACGUUGAGGCCCGAAAGCGUGGGGAGCAAACAGGAUUAGAUACCCCUGUAGUC